rnacentral:rRNA from 1 species
AUGGAGGAACUUGGACUCAAGGAAGCCGAUCUCCAAGAUGUGGUGAUCGAAGAUGAGGAAUUACCGCCGGAGGCGACCCGCUGGAUGGCGAUAGCUAGGGUUCAUACGGAUCGAACCUAUAGCCAGUACUGGUUCUUCAGGAACAUGAGGGCGGCUUGGGACCUGGCCAAGGAUGUGAAAAUCAGGCCGCUCGAGGACAAUCUAUACACGCUGCAGUUUGCAUGCCUGGGAGACUGGGAA